CUAUGCAACAUAGAGAUUUCAGUUAAAAUGAAAUGUUGAUUAAUAAAGGUCAAGACAAGACAAAAUUUAAGCGUCGUUACAAUUUAUUUCUUGUUCAGUUUAAUUUUAAUUGUAAAUUUUAAUUCGUGAUUAAAUUUUGAACUGGUCUAUUACGGUCAAAUGUCAUUGGACUACAAUCAAUCGAUGAAGUAUUAAUGGAUGAACAUCAAAUAAAGGAAUAAUUUGUGAAAAUUUACUUUCAUCAGACGAUUUAGCCAAUAAUCAUACUUUUCUCGACUGACUUUGUCUCGGGCAACUUUCACCAAACGAUAGCUUCUUUGCAGUGAUAUCCAGUAUCUAGUGAAACUAACAACCAGUCAAAUACACGGCUAAUUGCAAGCUAAAUUAUGAUUCCCAGAGGAUAAAUUUAGUUGAUAGCAGAUAUAUUUCUCUGGUUAUUUUGGGUAUAAUUUAUUCGCAGUUGAAAGCAUUUUGCCUAAGGAUGUCACAUUGAGUAUCAAAUUUUCGAUAAUAAUAGUCAACAACAGCAACCAAAUCAACAGACUCAAUCAUUAAAUUUAAUGAAGAUGCAGUCAUUUCUUGCACUGGUGUGAUGGCUUUUGACGCCGUUUAAUCAAAUGUUGGAAUAGCAGUGAAGAUGGACAACAAGGCUAGCGAAAAUGAAAUGAUGCUAUACAUCAAUAGAUACACAUUUUUGGCUGGACCUGUUGUUUACCGUAUCAUGGGGCUCAUACAAAAUUUGGUGUAAAUUCAGCGAUUCAUCUACAUAAAAGAUUAGCUGUCAGAUUUGGCGAAGCGUGUAAAUUAAUGUAUCAAUCUUGGGUCAAUUUUUCAAGGAAUACAUAAAGUCCAUUCUGUCUUGAUGAUUACACAGUUUCACUUGAAAAGUGCAGGCCAAUUGUAUUGAGCCAGCCUCACAGUUAUUCAUAUUGAUGUGAAGCAAAAAGUUGAUCACGUUAACGGUGCUUAUGAAUUGAGAGUUUGAUGAAGUUAAUGUGAAAAGCAAAGUGAUUGUUGUUGAACAAGUCAACCUGAACAUUGGUUGGAUAAAGAAAUCGGUAAAAAUCAUUGCUGAAUAAGUAAAUAGGGAAAGAAUGAGAAGAAGAGAGAAAAAAAAAUAGAAGAUGAAAGAUGAAGAAAAGUGUUCAACUUUCUGGUAAAUGCUGUGACGGGAAAACAACUGGUCGGAAGGUAUGGAAAAGGUGUCCAGGAAGAUGUUUAUGGUUGGAUGAUGGUUUCUAGACUAGUGUUGACUCCAAUCGAUACAGGCCAAUAAUACACGAAAAAAUGUUUCCAAUUUUUCUCAUAAAAAAUUUUCCUCUCUCUUUCAAAUGCUUUCCUUUUUUCUUCCUCUUCCGUUAAAUACCUUUCUGUCUUCUCCUUUCUCUACUUUGUUUUUUUUCUCGCAGCUCAUCAACAGUCCUCAUGCCAUUCCAACAAAAUCAGUAUUGUUAAACAAUUCCCAUCCAUUGAAGAAACGGUAUCAUCAUCUUGAACAUUGAACGCAAAAAAAGGAGCCAACUGUUACCUUGCCGGUUAUAACCACUCAAGUGAUUCUCAACUAAUGGCCAAGUUGCAAGUUUAUAUCCAAUAAACUUCAGGAAUUGAUUUUUUUUUGUUUUCCAAGGUUAAUUAUUGGUUAAAUGAUUAGCUUGACAGAAAAGCUUUUCAGUUUGAAUAUCAUUUACUGCCUGUUUAAUUGCAGGUAAAUAUGGAUCCUGUUAAUUUGCUGAAAAUAAUCCAAUUUCCGUAUUUAUGAUCACUUUCAAAUUCAAAAUGAUAUUCUUGGGUUUCAUCUCUGGUAUCACCUUCACUUGACUGCUUUCAUCCUUAGACGCAAUCAACCCAAACAAUCAACCAAGUUGACUGAUCUUAUGCAAGCUGUUACAUUUGAAACGUCCAUCGUUGCUGCCCUUUCAACCAUAAAACUGGUAAAAAUGUUUCAACAUCGACUUUUUCCGUUGAGGUCAGCUUUCCUUAUCAGAUCCUUCGUUAACCAGAUUAGGAUGGAUUAAUUAGGCCUCUCUUUGACAGCGAGCACACCAAAAACGCUCUUCUCAUAAAUACAUCAACAAUUCGCCGGCAGAAUUUAGAUUCCAAUCGAAUUAUUUGCACCUGACAAAUUGAUUUACUGCAAUGAAAUUUAAUCCGGUUACCAUUUACACCGUCUUUAAAUAUCAUUUACAAAUCUUGUCUUUUUUCGUCGUCUUUCAACAAUCCGAGCAAUACUUGAAUGAAUGUGUUACUCGAUGUCAAUUCAAUGAUACAACAAUUUAACAGUUGAGGUACCACUUGUUUAAUUGAUAAUUAUCUUUCACUUACAAAGGACGCAAAUAAAUCAAAUUGGUACUUCAUCAUGGUUUGGUUGGUAAAUUGAUUCAUGAAGCCAGAAGCUAAAACAAGACGAUAUCAGGAUACAGAGCGCGUUGAACGAGUAUUAAUAGCCUUUUAAAGGUUAACUCAAAUGAUAACCUUUUACUGAUAGGUUUGAUAUUUAUAUACAUCUAAUAUUUACUGGUCACUUUUGCCUUUCUAUUAUUAUCUGAUCAAUAGUCGACCAAGCUUUAUUGUUUAGACCAAUUACCUUAACAAAUUAACUCUUUCCUUUCCUUGAUUUACUUUACAGGGCUUACAUGAAGACUAAAGAGUUGAGUUGCUCAUCACGAACCGUCAAGAAUCAACAAGAAUCACAAUAAUGGUAAUAAUAGUAAUGGUUAGUUUUAAACCAAUUCAUUGAGUUUAACUAAUCACGAAGUGAAUCUUGAUCACAAUCAAAUAUCUAUGGUUAACAGUUAUACCAAUAAAACAUGAAAACAACCCUUA